AUCCUCUCGGGAUCGCACCUGGAGAGUAUCCAGUACACUACCAGUCUCAGCUAUGGGAGGAAGAGUCAGGCAAAGGCCUACCCAUUCCAUUCCUAGCUUGGGCAGUGGCUAGCGAGAGGCAGGCAAUCUGCUACAAGU